GACGAACGCUGGCGGCGUGCCUAAUACAUGCAAGUAGAACGCACAGUUUAUACCGUAGCUUGCUACACCAUAAACUGUGAGUUGCGAACGGGUGAGUAACGCGUAGGUAACCUGCCUGGUAGCGGGGGAUAACUAUUGGAAACGAUAGCUAAUACCGCAUAAUAUUAAUUAUUGCAUGAUAAUUGAUUGAAAGAUGCAAUUGCAUCACUACCAGAUGGACCUGCGUUGUAUUAGCUAGUAGGUGAGGUAACGGCUCACCUAGGCGACGAUACAUAGCCGACCGGGGAGGGUGAUCGGCCACACUGGGACUGAGACACGGCCCAGACUCCUACGGGAGGCAGCAGUAGGGAAUCUUCGGCAAUGGACGAAAGUCUGACCGAGCAACGCCGCGUGAGUGAAGAAGGUUUUCGGAUCGUAAAGCUCUGUUGUAAGAGAAGAACGGGUGUGAGAGUGGAAAGUUCACACUGUGACGGUAUCUUACCAGAAAGGGACGGCUAACUACGUG
rnacentral:rRNA from 1 species